UGGCGACCAGGAGCCCUCGCAGCAGCAGCCUGAGGCUUCCAGCCCAGGACUCCUCCGCGGAGGAGCCACAACCCCAAUAUUAGCGGCGUCUCUUCAGCCCCAGUGCGUUCAGCAGGUUGCACCUGAAGGAGCUAGACAGCAUUUUCCCACGCUCUGAAUAUCUCGACGUGUUCGCUCGAAAGCAGCUUGCAAUCUGCAUGGAUGUGAGUGAAGCCGAAGUGGAAGCCAGUAAGCCUGAUGAAAGCAAUUGGUCAGAGUAGCCACUCUCUGAAACCUGCCUCAGUCCUUGAAUACCUUUGUCCUACACAUUCUCCAAUUGGCCUGUUUUUGUUGCCUUUUCUAUGUUUGCCAAGUGAGUUUUGAACUUUAGCGGGGGAAUAAUGGGAUACAUAAACCUUAGCCUAUGGAAAUUUCCCAUUACCAGAGGGAAUAUGCUUUCUAAUGCGAAACAGAACUAAACUGUUACUUCUAUUUCCUGUACAAGGUUAAGUGUAAAUAAAGUUCCAUUCCUUCUAACAAUGGUAUCCUUUAGAGAACACUUCUGUGUG
rnacentral:lncRNA from 1 species